GAAAUAUAAGUAUAAAGCUUCUAACUUUAAUAAAGAAUUAAUAAUUCAUAUUUCU
rnacentral:tRNA from 1 species